UAUUGGACAAUGGGCGAAAGCCUGAUCCAGCAAUACCGCGUGUGUGAAGAAGGCCUUAGGGUUGUAAAGCACUUUCAAUUGGGAGGAAAACCUGCCGGUCAAUACCCGGUAGCUUGACAUUACCUUUAGAAGAAGCACCGGCUAACUCCGUGCCAGCAGCCGCGGUAAUACGGAGGGUGCAAGCGUUAAUCGGAAUUACUGGGCGUAAAGCGUGCGUAGGCGGUUCGUUAAGUCAGAUGUGAAAGCCCUGGGCUCAACCUGGGAACUGCAUUUGAAACUGGCGGACUAGAGUUUAGUAGAGGGGAGUGGAAUUUCAGGUGUAGCGGUGAAAUGCGUAGAUAUCUGAAGGAACACCAGUGGCGAAGGCGACUCCCUGGACUAGAACUGACGCUGAGUACGAAA
rnacentral:rRNA from 1 species